AGCUCCAAUAGCGUAUAUUAAAGUUGUUGUGAUCAAAAAGCUCGUAAUUUGAUUUCUGCCGAGGACGACUGGUCCGCCCUCUGGGUGAGUAUCUAGCUCGGCCUGGGCAUCUUCUUGGAGAACGUAGCUGCACUUGACGGUGUGGUGCGGUAUCCAGGACUUUUACUUUGAGGUAAUUGGAUUGUUUCAAGCAAGCACACGCCUUGAAUACAUUAGCAUGGAAUAAUUAGAUAGGACCUCGGUUCUAUUUUGUUGGUUUCUAGAACUGAGGUAAUGAUUGAUAAAGAUAGUUGGGGCAUUCGUAUUUAACUGUCACAAAUGAAAUUCUUGGAUUUGUUAUAGACGGACUACUGCGAAAGCAUUUGCCAGGGAUGUUUUCA
rnacentral:rRNA from 1 species